rnacentral:rRNA from 1 species
GACGAACGCUGGCGGCGUGCUUAACACAUGCAAGUCGAACGGAAAGGCCCUGCUUUUGUGGGGUGCUCGAGUGGCGAACGGGUGUGUAACACGUGAGUAACCUGCCCUUGACUUUGGGAUAACUUCAGGAAACUGGGGCUAAUACCGGAUAGGAGCUCCUGCUGCAUGGUGGGGGUUGGAAAGUUUCGGCGGUUGGGGAGGGACUCGCGGCUUAUCAGCUUGUUGGUGGGGUAGUGGCUUACCAAGGCUUUGACGGGUAGCCGGCCUGAGAGGGUGACCGGCCACAUUGGGACUGAGAUACGGCCCAGACUCCUACGGGAGGCAGCAGUGGGGAAUAUUGCACAAUGGGCGGAAGCCUGAUGCAGCAACGCCGCGUGCGGGAUGACGGCCUUCGGGUUGUAAACCGCUUUCGCCUGUGACGAAGCGUGAGUGACGGUAAUGGGUAAAGAAGCACCGGCUAACUACGUG